rnacentral:rRNA from 1 species
UACGUAGGGGGCAAGCGUUGUCCGGAAUCAUUGGGCGUAAAGCGCGUGUAGGCGGUUCGGUAAGUCCGCUGUGAAAGUCGAGGGCUCAACCCUCGGAUGCCGGUGGAUACUGUCGAGCUUGAGUACGGAAGAGGCGAGUGGAAUUCCUGGUGUAGCGGUGAAAUGCGCAGAUAUCAGGAGGAACACCAAUGGCGAAGGCAGCACUCUGGGACGUGACUGACGCUGAGACGCGAAAGCGUGGGGAGCAAACAGG